rnacentral:rRNA from 1 species
UAAUACGGAGGGUGCUAGCGUUGUUCGGAAUCACUGGGCGUAAAGGGCGUGUAGGCGGUCUGCUAAGUCUGAUGUGAAAUCCCCUCGCUCAACGAGGGAACUGCGUCGGAUACUGGCAGACUCGAGUACCGGAGAGGAAGGUGGAAUUCCCGGUGUAGCGGUGAAAUGCGUAGAUAUCGGGAGGAACAUCGGUGGCGAAGGCGGCCUUCUGGACGGAUACUGACGCUGAGACGCGAAAGCGUGGGGAGCAAACAGG